AUAGGAUGGGCCCGCGUAAGAUUAGCUAGAUGGUGAGGUAAUGGCUCACCAUGGCGACGAUCUUUAGCUGGUCUGAGAGGAUGAUCAGCCACACUGGGACUGAGACACGGCCCAGACUCCUACGGGAGGCAGCAGUAGGGAAUCUUCCACAAUGGACGAAAGUCUGAUGGAGCAACGCCGCGUGAGUGAAGAAGGAUCUCGGUUCGUAAAACUCUGUUGCAAGGGAAGAACAAGUAGCGUAGUAACUGGCGCUACCUUGACG
rnacentral:rRNA from 1 species